UGUAGCUCUCACAACCAUAUCUACAACUUCUGGUGAUACCCAACGUCCAACGACUAAAGCUCUCACAACAAUAUCUACGACUUCUGGAGAUACUAACCGGCCAACAACUGAAGCUCUCACAACCAUAUCUACAACUUCUGGUGAUACCAAACAGACAACGACUGAAG